CCAAGGCAGUUCAACUCAGUGCCAAGUCCAAGGACAUCAAAACAGUUCACAGAGGAGAAUGAGGCAAAUUAAAUAUUUGAAGAAAUAAUGGCUGAAAAUUUUCCAACUGUGGUGAAAGAUAUAUUUUCAGAUUCAAGAAGCUCAGUAAACCCAAAACAGAAUGGGAAAUAAAAAAGAAAAGAAGCACACCGUGGCACAUUAUGGUAAAACUGCUGAAAGCCAAGGAUAAAGAGAAAAUCUUGAAAGCAUCCAAGGAAAAGGGGAACACUUCAUACAGAGAACAACAUUUCCAAUGUCACUGUCUUUUUCAUCAAAAGCAAUUAGGCCAGAAGAUGGUGGAAAUGAAUGCCCAAAGAAAAGAAAGUCAACACAGAAUUGCUUUUCCAGUGAAAAUAUUCUUCCAGAAUGAAGAUGAAAUAAAGCCAUUUUCUGAUAAAAGAAAGCAGUGAUUCUGUUAUCGGCAGAUCUGAACUAUGAGAACUGCUAAAGAAAGUUCUUCAGGGGAAGGCAAAUGAAACCAAGUGGAAGAGCAGAGCUGCAGGCUGGAAUAAAGAGAAAUGCCAAAUUUGUAGGUACACAGAAGAGAGACCAGAGGCUUCAUGAUGUGUGAAGACUUAUCCCCUGGUAACCAGUGGAAUAUGUGCUUGAAUAGCUUUUUGUUUUAAAAUUUUCUCAGUUUUAAUUUCUUUUUUUUUUCACUUUGAAAGCAGUCACUGUUUAUUAACUGACCAGAUUACAAAAACAAUCAGGGCAGAUACCUUAGUUCAUUCUUCUAAUAAGCCUAUUGAUUUGAUCUUCCCUGUUACCAGCAUCUCCACCUUCUACAAAGUGGGUUGUUUUUUUCUUCAUCCCUCCCCGUGGGUUUGAACCCACCAGCUCCAG